UCCGUAUCUGUCUUUUACGUGAGGUAUGAAUUGGCCUUUAAAUGAGCCGCCCGGCGCCUCAUUUAAAGGUAAGCGGCUAACGCUAGCUUCCCAAUGAGAGAAGUGGGGAGGACUUCCAACUGCACUUUGUGAGGGGGGAGGGCAGGCAGGCGGACUAAAGUUUAGUUUUUUACGCUCAUCCAAACUAGUGCAAGAUCUUACCAAUCUGUAUGUAGCAGCAUAAAUAGUACGCUGCCACUUUAAGGCCAAAUUGGGCUGCUGCAUAUAAGCAGGUCUCCACCUACCACAAGGCUGCAUGCGUUGUGAUACUGAACCCAGCUGCUUCUCAUUGUGGGUCAAAUUGUGCUGGACUCCUUUGUUGCUCCUCCGACUUCUGGAUUGACCUGUCCUGUUGUUUGCUGGCAGGAAGCUGCAUUGCGAAGGUGGAAUUGGGGAUUUAUUUACCUGGCAGCGUGGUAAUUCACCAGUCGAAGCCAUCUGACGAGCCUCUGACCAGCUUUCAACAUGGAGUGACACUCGUUGCUGUUUUGCCUGGAAAGAAAUGUUUUAAAAAGACUUAUCUGAACUUUUCCCCUGCUGUCAGGGGCAUCUGUGUCACAAUUAAUGGGAUGCAGUGCAAUAUUGUAGUGUCAUUGUAUCACUGUUUCUUAUAUGGUUCUAAUUUUGUUUCAUUUAGGGACUGAGGCUUCUGUGGUGGCGGUGGUGACCCCUGGUGGCGGUGUUUUUGUUGUGUGUUUUGGAGCUCUCUUUCCUUGUUUGCUGUGCUUUGUAGUGUCCAGGGUGGUCCCAUUUCUUCACUAGAUGAUGCCCCUCUUCUCACCACCUUCCUUUCCAUUGGUAAGCCUCGGUUCCCAUUGAGAUUUAAACAUUUGUAUAUAUAUUUUUUUUUCAAUGCAUCCACUGUUUUAACCAUUCAA